UACGUAGGGUCCGAGCGUUGUCCGGAAUUAUUGAGCGUAAAGGGCUCGUAGGCGGUUCGUCGCGCCGGGAGUGAAAACUCGGAGCUUAACUCCGAGCCUGCUUCCGAUACGGACAGACUAAAAAUAAGCAAAAAAGAGCAAAACUCCUGAUAUAACAAUAAAAUGCGCAGAUAUCAGGAAGAACACCGGUGGCGAAGGCGGCUCUCUGGGCCUUACCUGACGCUGAGGAGCGAAAGCGUGGGUAGCGAACAGG
rnacentral:rRNA from 1 species